rnacentral:lncRNA from 1 species
GCUUCUCCUUUUUCUUCUGCUAACCGCAUUCGUUCUUUCCUUGCAGCACUCUCAGUGGGAUCUGCACAGCUGGUGUAUUGGAGCAUCACUUCUCUUAUCUCUUCUCGGGCCUCCAUGAUAGCAUUCGAGUAGCCAUCAUCUACUGGGGGUACAGGGGCUGAGUUUGGCAGUGUUUUCAAUAGUGAGGUAGCCAUUCUUUCACCAUUCAUUUCCUC